UUCGUUGUUAUGGAGAUGAAUUCACUUGAUUGAUGAUGUGAAGAUAUAUAAUUUGCUUCUGGAGUGCUGUUCUAUCUGGACUAAGCUUGGAGCAUCAAAUUAGAUCAUCAAAAUCUGGAUUGCCCGAGUCUGACGAUAAGCAUUAUGCAAGAGACAUCGUUUAAGGAUUGAUUACAUUCACUAGGAUAUCAAACUAGAUAACCUUGCUCGUAGAAGUGGAGAAAGGAUUGACACUUGGUAGCAAAGCUUGGAGAUUUUGG
rnacentral:lncRNA from 1 species